UACGGAGGGUGCAAGCGUUGUUCGGAAUCAUUGGGCGUAAAGCGCGCGUAGGCGGACCUGCAAGUCGGGGGUGAAAGCCCGAGGCUCAACCUCGGAACUGCCUUCGAUACUGCGGGUCUCGAGUCCGGGAGAGGUGAGUGGAAUUCCUAGUGUAGAGGUGAAAUUCGUAGAUAUUAGGAAGAACACCAGUGGCGAAGGCGGCUCACUGGCCCGGUACUGACGCUGAGGCGCGAAAGCGUGGGGAGCAAACAGG
rnacentral:rRNA from 1 species